ACUCCCACAUUAUUCAAAUCCCAAAAUCCCCAACGAAUUCCUCCACAUUUUCAGUGCUUCUCAAUUACUUCUUCCCUCUCUUUCGCGACAAGAAUUAUGCACAAGAAUUAACAUAAUGGAGAUGCUUUCGUCGCGAAUCAACCAAUUGUACUAGAAGAAGAGCAGCGGCGGAGAGGGAAGAAUGGUCGGGGGAUCGCAGAUGUCGUCAUGGAAGGAGCGGGAAAACAACAAGUGCCGGGAGCGGCGGCGGAGGGCCAUGGCGGUGAAGAUAUUCGCCGGCCUCCGCCUCUACGGCUCUCUGCCACUAGCCCGGCUGGACAGCCGAGCCCGACGGGACCACCUAUCGCAAGGUCAUUUUCUCAAUUACCCGAUUUUCGAUCAAAUUCACAAUGUGUUAAUAUUGAUAACUAGCUUUUCCUCCCUUUGUUGACCAUGAUAUUUGCAGCAUCAAAUUAUAUUCUGUUAUGUGAUAAAAGUAAAAUAUGAGCAAGCAAAUGAGUGAAAACCCAUUGAAGCUGGAGGGGCGGAAAAUGAAAACCGUGAAGAAGACGCCCGGACAUUAUCAGAUUUUGUUCCACUGAAGCCAGGUCUCAAGCACAUUUGCAGGGGCAUCCUUCAUCAACAUUAGGGGUGCAACGCCCAGGAACUUUGCCUCAUUCUGGACAAUCAAUUAACUCGACUGAAGGGAAGGUGCCUGGUAAUCUGGGUGGUCUCCCUAAGAGCUUUGAAUCCCUUUAUGGUAAUCAAGGACCUUCCCUAAAUACUCUUGGUGAGGCACGUGAGACUAUGGGAAAACCUCCAUUUGAAAGUCAGUAUGGUUCCCAACAUCUUGUUAGGCCAAUGUCGAGUGAUCAGAUGUCAGGCUCUGGUGAAUGGCACCCUCUCAUCAAAUCUCAUUCCGACGAGCCAAAUUAUGUGAAAAUGAAUGGGGGUGCAGCUCCUGACCCCUCUACGUUUGGCUCUAGAGAUGAAAAUUCAAAUCACAUGCCCAAGGAGCAUUUAAAUCCUUUUCCCAGGGAGGUAACUCGCACUUUUGACCAAGCGCCAAGGUUGCUUCAUAAACCUCGCCAUGGGCAUGGUUAUGAUGCUGUAUCUAAGUUGGAUCCAGGUGCUACAGGCCCGUAUUCAAGAUUCUUGCCGCAUCAUCAAUCUGGUGGGCAUGGGCAUGUGGAUAUAUUCUACGGUAGCUGAACUUCGAUGCGCUCUGCCUCGCCUCCCCUGCUUUUAUGCCCGUGAUCCUGCUCCUGAUUUCAAUGCUAACCAGAUUACAAUUUCUUCUCUAUUGGAGAAUGCUCGGAAAUGUAACCAGAUUACAACUUCUUCUCUAUUGGAGAAUGCUCGGAAAUGUAAAAAACAAAUGGGUGAUUCGUUUUUGUCUGUUGAGCAUCUAGUCUUGGCAUUCGCUUCGCUGCUGCAGGAGGGUGCUCGUCUCAGUGGAUGUUAAUGGUUAUCAGACAACACAUGUUGCAGCACAGUAUGGUCAAACGGCUUUCCUUUGUCACAUUGUCGCAGAAGUGGAAUGCUGAUGUUGAUGUUCCUGUAAUGAUGGAAGAAGCCCAUUGCACUGGGCUGCUUACAAGGGAUUUGCUGACUGCAUUCGCCUUCUGCUAUAUCUGAAUGCUCAUAGAAUGCAGCAAGAUAAAGAAGGGAAAUGCUAGAAGGUUGUUUUACAAAUGAUGGGAUAACAACAGCUUUCUCGGAAGACUUUCAAAGCUAGGACUUGCUCCAAUUCUUUGGUGUAUAAUUUUCCUGAUGCUUGCAACAUAUAUACAUUCAGUUAUUAUGGCUUCAAGUCUGCCGAGAUUAACAGCUGGCUUUGGUCUUUUUGCCUUGAUGGCAAGGACCCUGACUUUAUCAGAAUGAAUGUUCUUGAUCUAGAAAAUAUGAAAGAUGAUUGACUCAGCGGGUUCGACACUUUUUGAAGUUGUAUAUGGGCGCCCUCCGCCUAAGCUUGGGAGUUUCUUACCAUCUGAGAUAAGAGUCAGGGCAGUGGUUGAUGAGUUAACAACCAGGGAUGAUGUUCUUCGUCAUCUCAAGGAACAUCUUGAGCGUGCUCAACAACGUACGAUUCAUGCUGCCAAUAAGUGUCGCAGAGAUGUGCAGUUUGCAGUGGGCCAAAAAGUCUUUCUCAAGCUUCGACCACAUCGACAAUCCUCUUUAUUUUGGUCAGGGAGUGUAAAGUUAGCUGCAAAAUUUUAUGGACCUUUUGAAAUUCUGAAAAGGAUUGGUCCUGUUGCUUAUCGGCUACUACUUCCAGCUUCUUCGUGGUUACAUCCUGUUUUUCACGUCUCGCAACUUAAGACGAUGGUGGGCAAUCAUUCAGUAGAAACCGAGUUGCCCAAAUAAUUGAGGCAGUCUGAUCCCGAAUUUGUUCCUGAAUGGAUUUUGCAUGACCGUUGGAUUUGGCAAGGAGAUGAGCGUGUCCAUCAAUUAUUGGUGCAAUGGAAGGAUAAGAGAUCAACGAGGCAACUUGGGUGGGAGAGGAUGAGUUCAGUGGGCAAUUUCCAGAAUUCAGCCUUGAGGACAAGGCUGUUUGGAAGGAGGGAGGAGUUGUUGCAGAGAGAUUUUAUCGUAAAAGGUCGAAAGCGAGCGUGUAGCUGCUUUGUUUAUUAUCUUUUUAGUGUUAGCUUAGUAUGUUUUGAUUAAGUAUAAGUUUGGGCUGCUAGUUCCUGCAUGGGCUUAGCAAGCCCACUUUAUAGUUAAGCUUCUCUUGGAAGCUACUAUUGACUUCCCCUAGAAGUCAAGCUAGGAAAUAAAAGAAGUCUCUCCUUUGGAGGAGGACUUGUCUAGGAUCUUUUGGCUGGAAAAUCAGUGGCUAAUUGUCAUUUGAGCAUAGAGAGUUCCUCCUCUGUUGUAGUUUGUCUUUUGAUUAUCUAUAUAAUUCUUCUUAGCUCGGUUGUGUUUGUGUUCUCUUUACUUCUAUCAGAACUAUUACGGGGCCUGAUAUCAAGGAGCAAUUAUGAGUCUAUUAUUGAGGAACAAGGCAACUAGGCUGCACGCUGCAUGCUGCAAAUGCCAAAGAUAGAGGCAAUAAGAAAAGCCAAGAAGAUGCAGGUUUUAUCAUUCGGAAACUAAAGAAGGAGAUAUCAGCCCUUAGUAUUAGAAACUGCUAUCUUCUAUCUUCAGUUUCAUGAGUUUGAUACAUAUAUGAGGUGCAUCCAUUUUCUUGUAUUCAAAUCAGUACUAUCAGUUGAUAUCUUGGAAUCUGGAUUCGUAAGUUCUUCCCAUGGUGUUACUGAGGAUAAAGGACAAGAAUUCAGAUAACUCUGGAGGCAAUGCUGCUAAUAAAUGUGACAUUGUAGAUGAAACAGAGUUUAGGGUUCACUUGAUCAAAUAGGACUUGAUAGCUUUAACUUACAUGAACAGUCAUCUGGUACCGCUUCUGUAAGCAUCUAUAUGCAAAGCGGAGAUGCUUUGGAUGAGAAAUCAGACGACGCAGAACUUGGUGAUUUCUUUUUGGAAGGCAGUUCAUUGGAUCAAGUCUUACCUCAUGAGAUAUUGGAAGAACAAAAGAGAGAAACUGUGAGAACUUUGUAGCGACAAAAAUUUAGAGAAAAUGGAAGCGAUUUGGGAGAAGUUGUAUUACCAUAGGGAGAUCCAAAAAGGAUUCCAAAGGCUGUCCUUCACCAACUUUGCCAAAGAUCAGGGUGGAUGCACCAAAAUAUGAUAAAAGUUCUUGGUACAGGGAGCAGUUCUGGUUACUCUAUCAGUGUGCUGCAGACAGCUAGAGGGAGGGGUAAAAGUAGAAUAGCUGGAGGGUUGACGACAGUUCAGCUUCCACAUCUGGAUGAAAUUCUGAAUACACCAGAGGUACACACUUAUCUGCUAUUGUGAAUUGUGAUUAGUUGAAGAGUUAAUGCUAAACAACCACACUCAAGAACUAAUACCUUCCAGCAGUUUACUGUAUAAGAUAACAUAUGACUCUUUGCUUAUCAAAUUCAUAUUGAAUAGAGUACUUUCAACAUCAUCUCUGUGGGGAAACAAAUGCAUACUUACAAGAAUUGCUAGAGAAAUAAUUAGAGAUUUUCCUUGAUCUCUGAUAGACCGUGGCACUUCUGUUUUCUUUUCUUUUUCUUUUUAAUUGAAUCAGUUAUUUAUUCUAUAGGCAUAUCAUAGUUGGAGUUGUUUAUGUGGAAUAAUAGUAUUGUUCAGGGACAGUUAUUGUUGUAGGCCUCGGUGAGGAGUUUUCCGAUAUUUUCUUUUGUUUAUAAUAUUUUCGUUCAGUUCU